rnacentral:rRNA from 1 species
UGAGGAAUAUUGGUCAAUGGGCGGGAGCCUGAAACCAGCCAAGCCGCGUGAGGGAAGACGGCGCUAUGCGUUGUAAACCUCUUUUGCCGGGGAACAAAUGCGGGGAUGCAUCCCAGUUUGAGUGUACCCGGAAGAAAAAGCAUCGGCUAACUCCGUCGCC